UUCCGGUUGAUCCUGCCGGACCUGACUGCUAUCGGAUUGAUACUAAGCCAUGCGAGUCUUUGUAGUAAUACAAGGCAUACGGCUCAGUAACGCGUAGUCAACCUACCCUAUGGACAAGAAUAAUCUCGGGAAACUGAGCAUAAUUCUUGAUAGAUCAUAAUGCCUGGAAUGGUAUAUGGUUAAAAUGAUUCGUCGCCAUAGGAUGGGACUGCGGCCUAUCAGCUUGUUGGUGAGGUAAUGGCCCACCAAGGCGAUAACAGGUACGGGCUCUGAGAGGAGAAGCCCGGAGAUGGGUACUGAGACAAGGACCCAGGCCCUAUGGGGCGCAGCAGGCGAGAAAACUUUGCAAUGUGCGAAAGCACGACAAGGUUAGUCCGAGUGAUUUCUGCUAAAGAGAUCUUUUGCUAGUUAUAAAACCACUAGUGAAUAAGGGGUGGGCAAGUUCUGGUGUCAGCCGCCGCGGUAAAACCAGCACCUCAAGUGGUCAGGAUGAUUAUUGGGCCUAAAGCAUCCGUAGCCGGCUCUGUAAGUUUUCGGUUAAAUCUAUGCGCUCAACGUAUGGGCUGCCGAAAAUACUGCAGAGAUAGGGAGUGGGAGAGGUAGACGGUACUCGGUAGGAAGGGGUAAAAUCCUUUGAUCUAUCGAUGACCACCUGUGGCGAAGGCGGUCUACCAGAACACGUUCGACGGUGAGGGAUGAAAGCUGGGGGAGCAAACCGGAUUAGAUACCCGGGUAGUCCCAGCUGUAAACGAUGCAGACUCGAUGAUGCAUUGGCAUAUAGCCAGUGCAGUGUCGCAGGGAAGCCGUUAAGUCUGCCGCCUGGGAAGUACGUACGCAAGUAUGAAACUUAAAGGAAUUGGCGGGGGAGCACCACAAGGGGUGAAGCCUGCGGUUCAAUUGGAUUCAACGCCGGG
rnacentral:rRNA from 1 species